rnacentral:rRNA from 1 species
AACGAACGCUGGCGGCAGGCCUAAUACAUGCAAGUCGAACGAGUAAGAGCCCGCAAGGGAUUUCUGCUAGUGGCAAACGGGUGCGGAACACGUGGGAAUCUCCCCUUAAGUACGGAACAACAGUUGGAAACGACUGCUAAUACCGUAUAAUAUCUUCGGAUUAAAGAUUUAUCGCUUAAGGAUGAGCCCGCGUCAGAUUAGCUAGUAGGUGAGGUAAUGGCUCUACCUAGGCAACGAUCUGUAGCUGGUCUGAGAGGACGAUCAGCCACACUGGGAC